UACGGAGGGUGCGAGCGUUACUCGGAAUCACUGGGCGUAAAGCGCGCGUAGGCGGCUUUUCAAGUCAGGGGUGAAAUCCCACGGCCCAACCGUGGAACUGCCUUUGAAACUGUAGAGCUUGAGUGUCGGAGAGGGUGGCGGAAUUCCAGGUGUAGGAGUGAAAUCCGUAGAUAUCUGGAGGAACACCGGUGGCGAAGGCGGCCACCUGGACGACAACUGACGCUGAGGUGCGAAAGCGUGGGUAGCAAACAGG
rnacentral:rRNA from 1 species